GCGGAAGUGGCGGAACUGGCAGACGCGCUAGCUUGAGGGGCUAGUGGCCGUAAGGUCGUGGGGGUUCAAAUCCCCCCUUCCGCACCA
rnacentral:tRNA from 3 species